UACGUAGGGUGCGAGCGUUAAUCGGAAUUACUGGGCGUAAAGCGUGCGCAGGCGGUUCGUUAAGUUCGUUGUGAAAGCCCCGGGCUCAACCUGGGAACUGCAAUGGAAACUGGCGGGCUUGAGUGUGGCAGAGGGGGGUGGAAUUCCGCGUGUAGCAGUGAAAUGCGUAGAGAUGCGGAGGAACACCGAUGGCGAAGGCAGCCCCCUGGGCCAACACUGACGCUCAGGCACGAAAGCAUGGGGAUCAAACAGG
rnacentral:rRNA from 1 species